rnacentral:rRNA from 1 species
AUGGCUAACCGACGCGGCGGCGGAGGCCGCGACGGAGGGAGAGAUUCCGGUGACAAGAGGGGCGGCGGAGGCGGCAGGAACCGGGGCCGCGGCGGCGGCCGAGCGGCUCCCCCCGCCGGCGGGAGAGGCCCCCGCGAUGAGGUUGACGAGACCCGCGGAGGCGGCUCGGCUCCCGUCGGAGACCAGAACCGCGGAGGAGGCGCCUCUCGCGGCUUAGGCCAGUACCGCGGCGGAGGCGGCGCGGACCGCGACCGAGGUGCCAGCUCUUACGCGCGAGGCGGGGACCGCGGCGCGGGCGGCGAGGACUACGGCAGGGUCGACAACGCUUACGGAAGAUACCAGAGCCCCCGCGGAGGCGGCGGGGAUCCAAGCGGAAGCCGAGGAAGAGAAGGGCGUGGUUCGGGAAGCAAUGGACCUCGGGACCCGUACCACCAUGGGGGAGAGCAGGGUCGCGGCGCGGGCGGCGGAGAUCACGGCGCGGGCGGCGGGCCUUACGGAGGAUACCAGGGCCGCGGCGGAGGGGAGGACUACUAUCCAAGCAGAUGGCACGGAGGAGGGCGCGGUCCGUACGGGUACCACCCCGCGCCGCAGGAAGAGCGGCGUCGCGACAAGUACCCCCAGCAGUACGCCCCGACACCGUCGCCGAAGAAGAUCCCCUCCAAGGAGGUGGCGAGCCCGUCGCGACCUGGUGUCAGAAAAAUUGGUCCCAUUGAAGAGGUAGAAGUCAAACUUUGGGUGAACCACUUUAGCAUUAAGUUUGGGGAAUCAACUGUCUUUCACUACGGUGUCAAGCUCGCCCAAGUUUCUCCAGAGGCAUCAGGAGGCUUGGAGCUCUCCAUGGCAGAUCAGAAUUUUGUAAAUGCUCAACUCUUGAAGAUGCUUCAGAAGUCUCCACAUUCAUUAGUUGUUGCUUCUGAUGGCAAGGGCAAUCUGUACUCCUUUGCCAAACUGCCAGAAGGUUUAUCCCUCCCUGUGUCAGUUCGGUCACGGGCCUACAAUGCCUCAGUAGAGUUCAAGGACGAGCUGCCGUUCCGCUCUGAUCAGCAUGUGCCUAGGAAUGUCUUGCAGGCUCUUGAUGUCAUUGUGCGUCAGGCCUCUAGCUAUGAAAAGAUUAUCAUUGGUCAGACAUUAUAUUCACCACAGUGGUUAGUUCUUGAGGGCUCCAAUCAUGUUCAUGUCCAAGCUCUAGGGGGAACGAAGCAGACCCUAAAACCCACCGAGCAAGGGCUAGUCUUAUGUGUGGACUAUUCAGUUAUGGACUUCUGCAAACCUGAAAGCCGUGUUCUGGAUCUUGUUGAGCACUUGCUGAAGCGCUUUGGCAGAAGGAACCACCUUAACCCCCGUAGUCCAGCUCUAGACAAGGAAGAGUGGGAAUAUUUGAAGAGUCAGCUCAGAGGCCUGUGUAUUACCGUGAGUUACCAGAAGAAGUCCUCUGAAGGAAAAAGGGAUGCGCCGACAGUUCGGAAGUACAAGGUUCAAGACUUGACGGCUGAAAAUGCUGAACAGAUAAUCUUCAAGGAGUUCAAAGUAGAUAAGAGUUGGGAGCUUGUUCAGUAUUAUCGUCAGCAGUACGGGGAGGAUAUUCAGUAUAAGAUGCUUCCAUGCUUGAUUUUGAGCAAGAGAGAGGACAAGCCAAACUAUGUCCCGAUUGAGCUUUGCAGGCUUCAUAGAUGUCAGAAGUAUCCCAAGGAUUCCAGCCAGGAACCGAGGAGGCCACCCCCAUCAGAUGAGCGGAAAAUUAUGAUUGAGCGAAUGGUUAAUGAUGGACUGGAUGGGCCUUGCAGAGGAGGAAACAGAGGCGAGCAAUUCAGGAUUUCAUUGGAUACACAGAUGACAGAAGUGACCAGCAGGAUCCUUCUCCCCCCAGUGCUAAAACUGGGUGACUCUAAAGAAUUGAGUAUUCGUCUUGCUAACCGCCAGUGGAACCUCCAGGAUCACAAAAUAUUUGAUGGCCAGUCUCUCAAGUGCUGGGGCGUGCUCGAUUUCAGUGGACAGGAGACUCGUUUCAGGGAUGCCUUUAUUGCAAAGAUUGUCAGAAAGUGCAAUAAUCUCGGUAUUACGAUGUUCUGUGAGCCAAGCCUUGUGCACAAGUCAGCAAUGUUGGUGCUAUCUGAUCCGGACAAACUACGUAGGGAGCUUAGCAAAGCGAAGGAGGCUGCGGAGGAGAAGGGGCAGAAGCUGCAGCUCCUCUUCUGCCCGAUGUCUGAGCUGCACCCUGGGUACAAGACGCUGAAGCUGAUCUGCGAGAUAGAACUGGGGAUGCAGACUCAGUGUCUCUUGACCCAGCUGGCGAACAAAGAAGGCAAGGGCCAGGACCAGUACUUGUCCAACCUUGCCCUCAAGAUCAACAGCAAGCUCGGAGGAAGCAACAUGCAGCUAUCUCGCGAGCUCCCAAUGGUGACUGGCACACGCUUCAUGUUCAUCGGCGCGGACGUGAACCACCCGCCUCCAGGAGACACGGUGAGUCUGUCGAUAGCAGCUGUUGUGGCGUCCAUGGAUUGCCCUAGCGCCAGCCAGUACGUGCCGAGAAUCCGUGCCCAGAGGCACCGCUCGGAGGAGAUCGAUAACCUCGGUACCAUGUGUAAGGAGCUCAUCCAAGUCUACAUGGAAAGGAACGGCGGCUUCAAGCCAGACAAGAUCAUUUACUUCCGCGAUGGCGUGAGCGACGAGCAGUUCAAGAUGGUCCUUGACAAGGAGCUAGUGUCUAUGGAGAAGGGUAUCUGCGAAGACGACUACUCGCCGACGAUCACAGUUGUCGUGGCCAAGAAGCGGCACAACACGCGGCUGUUCCCCAAGGACGAAAACGAGCUGCAGACAACGAAUGGCAAUGUGCUCCCUGGCACGGUCGUCGACACAGUCGUUGUCGACGAGUCGCACGAUGACUUCUUCCUCUGCAGCCACGACGGGCUGCACGGGACGAGCCGGCCCACGCACUACUACAUGCUGAAGAACGGGCACGGCUUCAAGCGCGUGGACCUGCAGAAGCUGGUGUACAGCAUGUGCUUCAUGUUCGCUCGCUGCACCAAGCCAGUGUCGCUGACGGCGCCCAUCAAGUACGCCGACAUCACGGCCUACCGCGGCAGGGACUACUACGACAGCAGGAUGGAUUCCCUGCAGUUCCAGGCGCAGUUCCAGGCCGUCGAGUUCCCGGAGCUGCGCGUGCACCCGGAUCUCAGGGACAAGAUGUUCUUCGUCUGA